GGAGUAGAAGGGGGGGGUGGGGAGGACCAGGGAGUUGGGUUAGAGGACCAGAGUCUAUCAGAAGGGUCUGGGAAGACUGGAGUCUGGAAUCCAGCAGCUGAGAGCAUGCACAAUGCACUGACGUAUUGGUGUUGGCAAGAACAAAACAAAGGUUCAACCUCUUGUCUGAAGAACCGGCUGCACGUUAUCACAGGACUGUAACUCGGGCUUAAAGAGCUAGUAGGAAACUCUGACCAGAGGGAAUUUGCAUUAUGGCACUGUGGAAAGAGACCCACCCACCACACAGCCUUUAUACCGACCCUGCAGAUGAAAUACAUCAGUGGAAUAAAAGUCUAUCCCGCCAGCAAAGCCCUGACCAAGAAGGGUGAGAAUGAACACCGUAAAAAAACUAGAAAUUGGCCUUCCUGGCUCCUGACACACUGUGUGCACUGUGGUUGUCCCACAAGCUGCUCUCUGAGGAAGGGAAAGUGGCAUCCAACUGCCACUGGUCCUGAACACUCUUCAGCUGCUCCUGUAAGGCAGCCCCUCCCCUUCCUACCCCCAGCCCCUCACCCACAUCUCCCUUUGUGCAGGACAAAUACACCAGAUGUGUCACGUGUAGGGAAAA